GAGAACAACUUCUUUCGGUUUAGAACUUCCUCAUUUACACAACCCGCCUCACAAAAAGAAAGGGGACCACAUGAGUCAGAAAGCAGCUUGCCUUCAGAGGAGGGGCUCCCGUGGUCUCUCCUGGUGCCACAGGAGGGGAGCAGAAGGAGCGUUCUCAACCCACCCAGCCUGGUGCAUCCAGCUGGAAGAAGGGAGCCUUCAGCCACAGAAAUGAAGAAAACUGCCUGGACAGUGUGCUUAUUAGGGUGUGUUCACCCCUGCUGGUGUUCCUGGCCUUGUGGUGUCUCUGCACGGGAGAGGAGAGUCUCAGGUCUGGAAGG